GAGUGGGGAAAAAACUGUGAGAGGUUAUUGUGACCUUGUGUUAGAUAAGAAUGGAACGCAGACUGUAGCAGAAAAUUGCUGAGAAAAGUAAGCUGUCAGGAAGGAAUAUGUAUAAACAAAAUGCAGCUGUUGAUUAUUACUACAUGUAACAAAAGUUUUGGUGCCGUGACUCUGAUGGCAACGCCCGGCUGAGACAGCAACAACUACUACGGACCGUUCCCCUUCAAACGCCAAGGUGCCAAUCAAGAGAUUGUAAAGGAGUUAUGUGCAGCCUUGCCGACCCAAUGCAACCUCCACUGUCCCCACCAUCCGCAGUCUGCCGGGACCGUGAAACGUCAGAAUGGGAUUCUGAAAAACAAACUAGCCAAGAUUUGUGCAGAAACAAACUUAAAAUGGCCAAAUGCCCUGCCAUUAGCAUUGAUGAAUAUGAGGGCCACUCCUAAUCGAAAGACUGGACUUAGCCCACAUGAGAUCCUGACAGGGCGCCCAAUGCAACUACUGGCUGUGCCCCCACUGGCCCUUGCCCAGAUGGACAUUCAUUUGAUGGAUGAUACAAUGCUUAAUUACUGCCAGGCACUAAUGAAAUGUGUCAGAACUUUGUAUACACAGGUGGAAGAAGCACUACUCAAGGAUCCUGAGCAACCCUGCCAUUCGCUGGAACCAGGAGACUGGGUCUACAUAAAGGUCCAUCAAUGAAAGACUGCUCUGACCCCGUGCUGGAAAGGCCCUUACCAAGUCCUGUUAACUACCAAUACUACUGUGAAGUGCCAACGAUUAACUGCCUGGACCCAUGCUUCUCACUGCAAAAAGGCCCCUCCAUGUCGAGAUGACCCUCUGACUGCUGAUCAGCCUGUCCCUCCUUCUGGUACUUCUUUUCCUCUUUCUGGACAGCAGGAGAAAAGGACAAGGUGAAGUGCUGGUAACCUCUCCCUUGUUCACUAACAGAACCACCAUACAUUCACCAUCUGCUGGAGGAACCCGGUUAUUACAGGGUGAUGUGCUGGCAACCUCUCCCAUGUAUGAUGCUGAAUCACAACUGUUCCAGGAAAGAAGAAGAAGGUAUGUUUGUUCCACUGAAACUGCCAAAGUCCAGGGAUUCUUGACUACAAAAGACAUUAAGAAUUGGCCCUGGUGGAAGAGAGGGAGUAUCAUAACCUGGCAUGGAGGAACUUGUGGGAACGGCGCUUGGGACUGUGGUACAGAGUGGUGGUUUGGGUUUAUUCUGGGGACUGGGCUCUGUGCCUUCAGACAAGUACCUUCAGCAUGUAUAGCCCUCACUAAUUGGCUUUUAGAUGAUGAAUAGUAAAGGUGCCUUGCUGCCACGACCACUGCCCCCGCCAUUAUCCUCACUACCACUACCACCCCUGUAACACAUCCUAAGACAGACAAUACCAUAUACUCUGAUGAAACCCAAUGGCCAAGGCCUUUACAACUUAGUGAUCCCUAUGGGAUGGUGCCAAUAGUGCAGCAGCAAUUUGGAAUAUUUUCAAAGGCCAACAACAUGAUGAGAAAUUAAAGCAACUGGAAAAGGCCACUGGUCUUAUUAUUGGAGCACAGUUAACCCAGGUACAGGCUGGGGUUGGUGAAUUACAUGUUAUUUCUGCCCUUAGUUCAAUGACCCAGAAGCUGUUGACAGAGAUGGUAUUGAAUAUCACUGAGGCAGGAAAGGAAUUGCAGUGGGAUCUGGCAUGUUCAGAAAUUCAGGAUUUUCUGAAUGACCAUGUCAUGGCCAUUCAGAGUGAUCUUGAGCAUCAGGCUUGGCCCACUGCCCUUACUAGUGCUUCAGGAAUGCCAUCUGAUCUGUGGCCAUGGAGACAUACUUGGAGAUUUUCAGGGUGGAAGUGCAGACGCUCACAGUGCUCUUUCCAAGCAUACGGGCCAGUUGGAGGGGUGUGGGCUCCCACAUCUCGAAUCCUGCCGGGUCCGUGGGGAGGAUGCAUGUGGGAGUGGAUAAUUCACUGUGAUAUUUGGGAAAUUAAACCACCUGGUAUGCCUAACCGAUUUAUAGUCAGUGCUCCUGGAAUAACACCCGACAUUUGGAUAGGGGUAGGGAGUCAAUGGACACUUUGGCCAUUAGAACCCCCACAGCUUCAGUGUGUACGUAAACUGAAGCCCAGGGAAGUUGUCUUUAUGAUAACGUCUGUUGGGAAGGUAUAGGACAAGGAACUAUCCUGAUAGGACACCUGCUUUUCCAAGUGAAUAACAGCUGUGUGUAUGUUAAGGCCAGCACUUUGUAGGACAUAAAUUUUAAUCUCACCAUUGCUGCAGACAAUAAUAUCAUUUAUUGGCCUGCCGAUAGGUUCCAGAUACACUUUAAUUGGACUGCCUUAGCACCUGAUCAAUUCCAAAAUUUCCUUUUACUCCUACCAGAGGUCCAGAAAAUCUCUGAAUUACAAGGGCAAAUUCAUAUGCUCCAAAAUAUAUAUCAAAUUGAAAAGUAUUCCUUUCAUACAGCCUAUAGAGUGUCUACUCCAUGUACUAAUUAUGAUGUAUUGUGUUUUGUGACUAAGGCUAUACAACAACCCCAUCACAUUAUUACAGUGGGAUGUUAAUGCUUUUAGUAUUGUUGUUUAGUUUAGGAUUAUGUUGUUGUUGUUGUAAAGGAUGUAAUAAUAAUAAUAAUACCUUUCAUGUUCAUACUAACCAUGCAUUGUUGUUGCAUCCAGCCAAAACCCAUGAGGCUGAACCAUUUGAUCUAGAAUCAGAAAUACAAGGUUUGAUGAACAUGGAGGUUUAAGAUUGAUAGUUGUGCUGGAAACACAAAAGGGGGGAGUGUGGAAGUUGGGAAAAGCGCAGACAUCUUAGUCUUCCAGGAAGAGUAAGAGUCAGGCUAACUCUUCUAUUUAAUAAUGCGAGACUUUAAUUUAGGGCCUGGGCGAGUGGGAAAAAACUGUGAGAGGUUAUUUUGACCUUGUGUUAGAUAAGAAUGGAACGCAGAUUGUAUAAAUAAAAUGUAGCUGUAUGUAACAAAAGUUAUAAAUGUUUGCCCUAAUUGUUUAUCUGUUGGAGACCUGCCUAGGG